rnacentral:rRNA from 1 species
GACGAACGCUGGCGGCGUGCUUAAUACAUGCAAGUCGAACGGUAAGGCCCUUCGGGGUACACGAGUGGCGAACGGGUGAGUAACACGUGGGUAAUCUGCCCUGCACAUCGGGAUAAGCCUGGGAAACUGGGUCUAAUACCGAAUAGGACCACAGGACACAUGUCCUGUGGUGGAAAGCUUUUGCGGUGUGGGAUGGGCCCGCGGCCUAUCAGCUUGUUGGUGGGGUGAUGGCCUACCAAGGCGACGACGGGUAGCCGGCCUGAGAGGGUGUCCGGCCACACUGGGACUGAGAUACGGCCCAGACUCCUACGGGAGGCAGCAGUGGGGAAUAUUGCACAAUGGGCGAAAGCCUGAUGCAGCGACGCCGCGUGGGGGAUGACGGCCUUCGGGUUGUAAACCUCUUUCACCAUCGACGAAGGUCCGGGUUUUCUCGGGCUGACGGUAGGUGGAGAAGAAGCACCGGCCAACUACGUG